UACGUAGGGUGCGAGCGUUAAUCGGAAUUACUGGGCGUAAGCGUGCGCAGGCGGUUUUGUAAGCCAGAUGUGAAAUCCCCGGGCUCAACCUGGGAACUGCAUUUGGGACUGCAAGGCUUGAGUACGGCAGAGGGGGGUAGAAUUCCUGGUGUAGCAGUGAAAUGCGUAGAUAUCAGGAGGAAUACCGAUGGCGAAGGCAGCCCCCUGGGUCGAUACUGACGCUCAUGCACGAAAGCGUGGGGAGCAAACAGG
rnacentral:rRNA from 1 species